rnacentral:RNase_P_RNA from 1 species
GUCGCGCCGCGCGAGCGGCGAGGAAAGUCCGGACUCCGCAGGGCGGGAAACCCGGCUGAAAAGUCGGGGGCGCGGCGGCAAUCGCCGCGUACGGACAGCGCCACAGAAAACAGACCGCCUGCGGGAAACCGCAGGCAAGGGUGAAAAGGCGGUGCAAGAGACCACCGCGCCGGCGCGCGAGCGCAGGCGGCAAGGCAAGCCCUUUCCGGAGCAAGGUCGAAUAGGGAACCGGGGCGGCCCGUCCGGGCCGCGGAACCGCCGCAAAGGCGAUGCGCGGCCAAGGUUCCGGGUAGACCGCUCAGAGAAAUGACCGGAGCGGCGGCGGAAACGCCGCCGUGAACAGAAUCUGGCUUAUUCGCCGG